CCUACGGUGCGCAGCAGUGAGGAAUAUUGGUCAAUGGGCGUAAGCCUGAACCAGCCAAGUCGCGUGAGGGAUGAAGGUUCUAUGGAUCGUAAACCUCUUUUAUAAGGGAAUAAAGUGUGGGACGUGUCCUGUUUUGUAUGUACCUUAUGAAUAAGGAUCGGCUAACUCCGUGCCCGCAGCCGCGGUAAAACGGAGGAGCAGAGCGUUAGCCGGAUUUAUUGGGUUUAAAGGGUGCGUAGGUGGCCUUUUAAGUCAGCGGUGAAAGUUUGUGGCUCAACCAUAGAAUUGCCGUUGAAACUGGGAGUCUUGAGUAUGUUGGAGGCAGGCGGUAUGCGUGGUGUAGCGGUGAAAUGCUUAGAUAUCACGCAGAACCCCGAUUGCGAAGGCAGCCUGCCAAGCCAUGACUGACGCUGAUGCACGAAAGCGUGGGGAUCAAACAGGAUUAGAUACCCGUGUAGUC
rnacentral:rRNA from 1 species